GCCGGGCGUGGUGGCAUGUGCCUGUAGUCCCAGCUACUCGGGAGGCUGAGGUUGGAGGAUUGCUUGAGUCCAGGAGUUCUGGGCUGUAGUGCGCUAUGCUGAUCAGGUGUCUGCACUACGUUUCGUAUCAAUAUGGUGACCUCCCAGGAUCAAAAGACCACCAGGUUGCCUAAGGAGCAGUGAACCAGCCCAGCUUGGAAACGGAGCAGGCCAAAACUCCUGUGCUGAUAAGUAGUGGGAUCACGCCUGUGAAUAGGCACUGCACUUCAACCUGGGCAACAUAGCAAAACCCUGCCUCUA
ensembl:misc_RNA Metazoa_SRP Metazoan signal recognition particle RNA